rnacentral:rRNA from 1 species
GAUGAACGCUGGCGGCAUGCCUAAUACAUGCAAGUCGAGCGAACAGAUGAGAAGCUUGCUUCUCUGAUGUUAGCGGCGGACGGGUGAGUAACACGUGGGUAACCUACCUAUAAGACUGGGAUAACUCCGGGAAACCGGGGCUAAUACCGGAUAAUAUUUUGAACCGCAUGGUUCAAUAGUGAAAGACGGUUUCGGCUGUCACUUAUAGAUGGACCCGGGCCGUAUUAGCUAGUUGGUAAGGUAACGGCUUACCAAGGCGACGAUACGUAGCCGACCUGAGAGGGUGAUCGGCCACACUGGAACUGAGACACGGUCCAGACUCCUACGGGAGGCAGCAGUAGGGAAUCUUCCGCAAUGGGCGAAAGCCUGACGGAGCAACGCCGCGUGAGUGAUGAAGGUCUUCGGAUCGUAAAACUCUGUUGUUAGGGAAGAACAAAUUUGUUAGUAACUGAACAAGUCUUGACGGUACCUAACCAGAAAGCCACGGCUAACUACGUGCCAGCCGCCGCGGUAA